AACUUUUACUGAUUGGAGACUCUGGGGUUGGGAAAUCAUGUCUUCUUCUAAGGUUUGCUGAUGAUUCAUAUCUGGACAGCUAUAUUAGCACAAUCGGAGUUGAUUUUAAAAUUCGCACAGUCGAGCAGGAUGGGAAGACCAUU